UCCAUUUUCCUUUCUUUCUCUAUACUGUUUAUACCUAUUUGCUACCUGUCAAUUUUGAUUUCUCUAGCAUCCUUCUUAGACUUUGUGGGCUACCUUUUCACCUAUACAUUGCUAAGGAAAUAACUUGGUGUGAUUUUAUAUAUAGAUAGAUCUUGCAUACCUCAAUUAUAGCUAUACAUAGGGAAUUUACGUCUGAGGAUUGUCCUUUACAGACUUUUUAUCCCCUUAUAUACUGGUCUCGCUGUCAAUGUAGAUAGUUUUCUCCUUUGUAUUCCUACCUGCCCACC